AACGAACGCUGGCGGCAGGCUUAACACAUGCAAGUCGAACGCGUGCAGCAAUGCACGAGUGGCGCACGGGUGAGUAACGAGUGGAUAUCUGCCUUUUGUUUCGGAAUAACCCCGGGAAACUGGGGCUAAUACCGGAUGUUUCCUACGGGAUAAAGAUUUAUCGCCAAAAGAUGAGUCCGCGUCCGAUUAGCUAGUUGGUGAGGUAAUGGCUCACCAAGGCGACGAUCGGUAGCUGGUCUGAGAGGACGAUCAGCCACACUGGGACUGAGACACGGCCCAGACUCCUACGGGAGGCAGCAGUGGGGAAUAUUGGACAAUGGGGGCAACCCUGAUCCAGCCAUGCCGCGUGAGUGAUGAAGGCCUUCGGGUUGUAAAGCUCUAUUGGCGGGGACGAUGAUGACGGUACCCGCAGAAUAAGCCCCGGCUAACUUCGUG
rnacentral:rRNA from 1 species